UUUCUAAAUGUUUUUAAACAUAAAAUAUAUACAUAUCCAAACUAUUAUUUUAUGUUUAAAAAGAUAGAAAAUAUUAAACUUUAGUUUCUAUACUUUUAUUUGCAUAACUGAUAUAUUAUUAUAUAAUAAAUUAAUUAAUUUAUUAACCUACGGUUCACCCGCGGUCGACCCAGUGACUCAGCAACCCGGUAAGCUAUCCGGUUCAGUGUCCGGGUCGGGUUUAAAAACAUUGGUUGUAACAAAAUUCAGACCAGAUUUAUAUGAAUCACCUGAUUUACUUAUGAGACUGUAGGUUUGGUUCAGGUAUGAAAACACUGCUAAAACUAUUAAAAAUUCUAAAUAUAUAUACUAUUAGAUUAGCCCAAAAUCUGUCUAGUAAAUUUUUUGUCUCAUCAACUCAACAAAUAUAACUUUUACAAAAUACACACAAAAUGCAACGAUGACGUUGUAACAUAAGAAUACACAUAUAAAAUCUAAAAUAAACUAUUUGAUAAAUUAUAUAAUUUUAAACUAAAAUUCUUUUACUUUUUCGAUAUAAUAACACUUUAUAACUUAAUAAUAUAGUUCAAAAUAUCAAAACCAAAAUAAUAAUUCAUAUCAAACAAUAUUCUUAAUCGGAAAAAAAAUCCGCGCUUUUGAAGCGCGGGUUAAAAUCUAGUUAAUAUUAAUUUUGCUUUUUUAAAAUACUGAUCAAAAUAUAAUUGCAAAAUAUUAUUUGAUAAUAAUUUUUCUUCUAAUGUUGGGACAUGUGUUUAAAUAUAUACUGAUUAAUAAUAUAUAUGAUAAGAUAAUAAAAACGAAUUUUGAAAACUACUUGGGAAAAUUUUACUUUUACACUUUGUUUGAUACCACUAUUCAAUUUUACCACCAAUUUAGGGAUAUUUUCAUAAAUAUCAUUUUCAAUAAUGAACAAAAGAUAAUAGUACCCUUACCUUAUCUUCUACUCAAUCAUCGACUCUUCCUCUCUCUUUUUGAGAUCCAUCUUAUCUUGGACUUACCGUCGAGAUCCCCCGUCUCCGUCUAGAUCCGCCGUCUCCGUCGAGAUCCACCGUUUCUGUCGAGAUCCGCCGUCUCCAUCGAGAUCCGCCAUCUCUCUCUCACACAACCGGCGACGAAAACGGAUUAGAGAGAAUCGUGAUUCAAAGCCUUCAAAUGUUGAUUCCUGUUCAAGAUUCACAACUCUUAGACAGUAAUGAAUCUUGCACAUCUCCAUGAUUGCCUCCAAGGAUUUAUGAAGCUGUAACAGAACCACUAGACAAUCCAAAAGUGAUUAUCCAAUCGGUGUCUUGGUCAAUAAUGUUAAGUGUUUUAUAAAAGAUUAUAAAUGAAGUUUUAUAGGGGUUUAUAAAUUUAUAAAUUAGAGAGACUUAUAAUACGUUGUUUUUUCUUUGUUACAUCUUGUGGUUAAUACAUUAUUUGGAUUCUCUGAGGAAUACAAACAUUUGGUGACCCCAACA